ACGAACCUCGGGGGAGAGAGCGACGGGCCAGCGGUGCAAACCGACGGUCGCGGUCGACGCCGAAGGAGCAACCGCCCCGGAAACUCUCAGGCGAACGUACUCCGAGGUGAGG
rnacentral:ncRNA from 1 species